CUUUGUAUCAUAGCAAGAGUGACGUUCAUAAAAGAUGAAGGAGCCCCCAGAGCGUCGAUACCUUAAUUACUACUGUGGGCUCUGAACACGGAACAAUGGCACUGGCUGUUGAGGUUGUGACCCUCAGCCAGCUGCCAAAUAAGACUCAGAACUUGAACUUCGUGGCCAUAUUCUUUUUCACUGGCUGGACCCACAAACACUUGCCAUUCCUCAGUGGAAGUGGCUGCAGGGCCAGAUCUUCUGAGAGCAUUUCUCUGAGGACGAGGAGGUGUUGCUAGCAAUGAAGUAUUGGCAGCAGGUGUCCCCGCUUAUUCUCCAUAUCCCACAGCUCUCUGCCCUGACCACCUUGGGGAGAGCUGAGUGGUCUCUGCCUGUCUUGAGAAGGAUGUGGCUUGCAACAUAGAGGACAAUGAUGAAUCCUAGGGACUGGCAUCACAUCUGCCUGGACCAGGCCAGCUGCCACUCUCACAGAUCAG
rnacentral:lncRNA from 1 species